rnacentral:rRNA from 1 species
GGAUUCCAUUAGUAAUGGAGAAUGAGCAGAGGAUGAGCUCAACAUUGAAAUUGCGGCAUCAGGCUGUGAAUAGUAAUCUCGAUGAUGUACUGCUAGCGGGGGCGCGGAUGAAAUCGUCUUGGAAGAAGAGAAUCAUUGAGGGUGAGAAUCUUGUUUGUCACUCGCAGACCUCCGUGCACGGCGUAUGUUAUUAGAGUCACGUUCGUCGGGAUUGGAGCGCAAAUUGGGUGGUAAAUUUCAUCCCAAGCUAAAUAUGGGUUCGAAACCGAUAGCAAACAAGUACCAUGAGGGAAAGAUGAAAAGGACUUUGAAAAGAGAGUUAAAAGUGCCUGAACUUGAUGAAAGGAAAGCGGAUGGAACCAGUGUUGCUUGGUAAGAUUGUCGCGUGCUAAGGUGAUUCUCGCUGCGUCAGCGCAAGCGGUGCUGUGGGUUGGAUCCUUCCGCGCGCGAUGCUUCUUGCCUUGUGCGUCAUCGUCGGUUUGGAGGUGAGGACAACUCUUGGGACAUGGUAGCUUGCCCCUGGGCGAGCGAACGUGCCUUGUGGAACUCACCGCCAGACUGUGAAUAGAAUGUGUGGGAGCGUUGCUCGUCGCGCUGUCGCCCGUGGGAUAUAAGGCUGCGGCAGUGCGCGCGCGCACCUUUCACACACAACCAUGGUGACUAAAUGGUUCCAUUCGACCCGUCUUGAAACACGGACCAAGGAGUCUAACAUAUGUGCGAGUUCUUGGGUUUGAAACCUACGUGCGCAAUGAAAGUGAUUACUGAGAUGCUAGCAUCAGCAGCCGACCGAUCAAUUGGGAGAGGUUUGAGCAUGAGCAUAUCUGUUAGGACCCGAAAGAUGGUGAACUAUGCUUGU